rnacentral:snRNA from 1 species
GGAUGUAAGGGUGAUCUGCCUGCAGCAUCAGUCACCCCAUUGAUCACCAGGGUUGAUUCGGCUAAUCUGGCUGGCUAGGCAGGUGUCUCCUUCCUCCCUCAAUGCUCCAUGUGUGCCCCGCACCCAGAACUGUGCCCUUGGUCAAAGACAAUGACCUUCCAGAAUAGAGGAGAACAGGUUUUUGGUCAAGGGUAUAGGAGUAGCUGUGCUCCCCUGCGAGAACCUCAAAACAAGCUCAAGGUCCACGAUAUAAAUAUUUCUGAAAAGAUAUAAAUGAGUCUUUUAAAUAAUAGUAUUUAUUGUGUGAUUCCCUA